rnacentral:lncRNA from 1 species
ACCAGUGACAGAAAUAUCUUCAUCAUCGUUUAUGACCAAAACUUCUAUAUUACUUUACUAUUGGGGGGACUAAGGAUCAUGAAUGCUUUCUGAAUAUUUAUAAAUACCACGACGAAAUGCGUGAUUUUAUUAUAUUGAGAAAAAUACUUUCUUAGGUAAAUUUAUUUAUCUUUUAAUAUCAGCUGUUUGUUUUCAACAUGGAAAAAGUUUAGUUUUAUGUAUAAUGUUGUUUUGAGUAGAGGUAGAGAAACAAGCAAACAAAAAGAUAUACUUUCAUCUUUUGUGUUAUGUCUUAAAUAUCCAUCUCAAUCAAUUCAUGACAGGUUUUUAGAUAUGUAAUUGGAUCUUGCCUAAGCUAA